GUCCCUGUAGCGUAACGGACAGCGCGUUGGACUUGAAAUCCAAAGGUCAUGGGUUCAAAUCCUACCAGGAAUG